rnacentral:rRNA from 1 species
GGGCUUUCGCAAAUAUGAGGCCUGGCUUUCGCGGCCGGCUGAAGUAUUUUUUUCACCCAUGUCUUUUGCGCACUUGUUGUUUCCUGGGCGGGUUCGCCCGCCACCAGGACCAAACCAUAAACCUUUUUUUCUUAUGCAGUUUCCAUCAGCGUCAGUAAAAACAAUGUAAUUAUUACAACUUUCAACAACGGAUCUCUUGGUUCUGGCAUCGAUGAAGAACGCAGCGAAAUGCGAUACGUAGUGUGAAUUGCAGAAUUCAGUGAAUCAUCGAAUCUUUGAACGCACAUUGCGCCCUUUGGUAUUCCAAAGGGCAUGCCUGUUCGAGCGUCAUUUGUACCUUCAAGCUUUGCUUGGUGUUGGGCGUUUUUUUGUCUCCCUCUUUCUGGGAGACUCGCCUUAAAACGAUUGGCAGCCGGCCUACUGGUUUCGGAGCGCAGCACAUUUUUUGCGCUUUGUAUCAGGAGAAAAGGACGGUACUCCAUCAAGACUCUACAUUUUUCACUUUUGACCUCGGAUCAGGUAGGGAUACCCGCUGAACUUAAGCAUAUCAAAAGCCCGGAGGAA